GUUAAGAGAAAAGAGACAGAGAGAUAGAGGACGCUUGCGUACCCUCCCCUGAUAGCCCACAAAACAUUUUCCUUAAUUCUUGCGUUACUACGUUCUUAAAAACGGAUUAUUGACAGUUGGGUUUGUCUUUAGCAUCUCCUUGUUUUCUCAAGGUUUCUUUCCCUCGUUUAGGGCUCCGUUUUUUCCUCCAUUGCAACAGUUCGCUUGGAAUCUCCUUCCCGAGAGGGGUCUGGUGAAGCGAGCGCUGCUUAGAGGCAUCCUCCAAUGUGAGGCUUCACAUUUCUACUGAAAUCUUGCGCUUUGAUCUGGUUUGAUCUCUCCCAUGGCUGAACCUCCGCCGGAAGGAAUGGAAGCCGAAUGCUAUGAAUCGAUGCCUGAAAUCAAGGUGGAAGAUCUGAAUCUUUCAAUUGAAGAUCAUCACACGAUCUCAGGUCUUGUUCGCUGGAAUUAUGUUUUGGUUGGCAAGAUUUUCACAACAAAACGCAUUUCUGCAGUCACCAUAUCCAAGGCUCUCUCUAUAGCCUGGGACCUUCACCGAGAUCUGGAAGUCAGAGCUUUAGAGAGGGACCUUUUCCUCUUCCAGUUGGAUAAUACCAGUAAAAUGGAGAAUGCGAUGUGGUGUUAAUCGGUUCAGAUUCGGUUUAAACGAAGAAGAAAGCUGUAAAUAUUGGGAUCUUUCGUAAAGCUCGGCUACCAGAAACCUUGAAGGAGUUUACAAGAGCUUUAGCCAUAAGGGUUUAUCUUCGAGUUGAUCUCCCUCGCCGCAUGGGAAUGACAUUUAUCAGGUCAGGUUUAGAUACAAUUUGGCCGGAAUUUGCAUUUGCGAAACUGCCGCUCUUCUGCUUCUAUUGCGGGAUAAUUGGUCAUGACUCCCGGUCGUGCGGACUACAACUCUAUUUGAGCCGAGGCUUUCGCUCGCCGGUGUCCCUAAAACUCUCACCAGAACUGUGAGAUCCUUGUCUAGGCACUUUUUUUGGUGACUGGUUAAGAAUCGGUAGCCCUACAACUCGCCACGUGGCUGCAAUUCAAAUGAAGCUUGUUGCAAAGGCAAUCAUCCUUUCUCUUGAAAGUCGCCUAUUCUGCGCUGAAACCAUGGAUUCUUUUGCAUGUGGACAUGAUCGGGAGGAGUUUCUUGAGGGUUUCAUUCGGGCUCUACUAAGGCCUGAUCCGUGUUUUCGUCAAAGAACUGUUCCCCGAAUGAGGCAAAUCAUGAAUUUUCGACGUUCUUCGGGUAAUAGUCGGGACAUAGUACAACGUUCGGCUCGACGGGAGAUGGUUCAACGCUCACCUUAUCGGGAGAUGGUGAAGAAAUCCCUAUUCCCAUUACCAUCCGCUGAACAUGAUCUUGCCACGCCAGCACCUCCAGAAGUUGCUAGGAACAUGAUCGACACUGCUGCUGAGGAUGUUAAUUGUCUGCGUCCUUGUUCUGACCAGGCGCCUGACCCAGCAGCUCCAACUCCCUUAUCCCCUGAUCAUCAGGUUUUGGACAGCAAUAGGAUUGAUCUGAGCCCGUUAAUGCUCAUUUCAGGCACAACUGGUACCAGCUCCAUAUCUUCAGGAAUUAAUUCCAAUUCCCCAGGGCAACUUCUUCCUGAGAGUAAGACAGAAAGUUUGGCUGUUACUAGGGCUUCGAAGAUAGUGCUUUUUGUGCAAAACACUUACAAUUCUCGUGAAGUUGGCUCUACUGUGGUACUGGAGGAAUUACCAUCCCCUCCUUUUUCUCCUGAAUGCUCUUCACUUGUGAAGGUCUCACUUUGUGUUUGAUCCAUCCAAGCACCUUGCAGCGGAAAGCCCGGGUGCAUUGUUCUCUCUAAUUCUUCUCAGGGAACUGUUCUGUUUCCCAUUCUCUGCAUUCCUGCCAUUAAAAUGCCUGCAAACUUCAGUCCUAUAUUUUCUAAGAAUUGUUGAUUUGAAGGUGAAAUCUGUAGUUGACAACUAUUCUGUUCACAGAACUGUCUAAUCGAUUGUGUCAGAAUUCAGAAUCUGUUUUCAAUUUCAGAUUCUGUCAAGUACUCAAGUCAUUAAUGGAGUCCCAAUUCAAGUGGGAGUUUUUUCUUGGGCUUAUUCCUGAACCCUAUUUGCCUUUUCUGCUAGUUUGUUUAUUCUGAUAUUGAUAUUCUGUUGGUUAUCCUAGUUCUGUGAUCUUUUCAUUGAUCGGAAUUAUAUUUUGACUGAUUUUCCCUUCUCCUAGUCUAACUAGGAUUUCCUAUUAUAUUCUGAAUCCAACCAUUGGAUCCUUCUGAACUUUCAGCAAGGUUUUCGUUCACUAAUAAAAGAUCUCGACCUGAAUAUGAGGUCCUUCUGGUUGCUUGAUUUUGUUCUAUGAUUUUUCGUUCAAAAACUGCUUCUGUAUCUCUCUGUUUUCGUUCAUGUUUUGGUACGUUUUAACCUUUUAAAUCAGUAUUACAUUACUUCUGCAUUAGGAGGCCCUUGUACCCAUAGCUCUUCUAGUUUAUUAUAGACCAUCCAGUUGUGUUGCAUUGAAUACUGAUUAGCAAAAUAAAUACAUGGAGCACAAUAGGAUGGAAAGUGAAGCAUGUUACCAAUUUCAUUGGUUAUUAUUCUUCUCUCACAGGCCCAAGGAUAGGUGGUGAACCGAUCUGAACUAAUAUAGAAUGUGGGAUGAUGUAGCAGAGAUUACCAAUCGAUGGAGUCUAACUUCCUGGUUCUGCAGUUCAGCACAUGAGUGAAUUGAUAGUAGAAGAAACAUUGAAGAGAAAAGAAGAGAAGAAAGAGAGGAGAAAUUCUGGAAGGAAGACAUGUAUCUCUCGGCAACAGAGGCAUACAUGAGGAGGUCUAACCCUUUACAAAGACUCGAGCUUUUGGGAUAAGCUGUUGUAACAUGGUAACAGAGCUAGGAGGUUGGGUGUUUGAUCCCUGGAGGAACGCGGAGCCACCAAUAUAUUACAUGCCUGUGAAACCACUGGAGGAAGAUGCCACUCUUCCUGAGGAGCGUAAAGUGCAGGGAGUGCCUAUUUAAGUGGUUUCAGACCCUUCGACAUAUGACAGUCAUGCCACCCACUACCUGAAAAGUCUCUCAAUGUAGGUGGAGGGGUGGAGCUAUCAGAAUAUCAGAAGCAGAUUGCACAACAGUAUGUUGCCAAUGUGGAAACGGAGGUAGAGAGAUGGCAAAAUGCAAGGAAUGCUAGAAAAGCAAACUACAAUCUGAACCAGGAGACAAUGGACAAUGGACAAUGAGCUUGAAACCCAAGGAUUGCUACUGACUCUGUUUCCUACGGACUAGUUCAGGAAGGAACUUUGAUUGGUGAUUUCAUGCUUUGAAGUUAUUGUAUUAACGAUGGUGAGAAAUUGUGAAUAUGGAGUUUUGCUGGGACUUGGAACAAGUCAUGGUAGAACACCUGGAUCCAAUUUGUUCUCUACCCUCCUUAUUCAGAGAUAUCGUAUGCCUGGCUUCUAUUUCUUGACUCCUGGAGACAAAAAGUUGCCAGAAAGAGAGAUUUAUAAACAUCAAAAAAGGUGCUGAAGUCCAUCACCAUGUUAUGCAUCUCCUUCGAAUGACUUCAGGUUUCAGAUAUCUGCCAACCUUUCUCUUUGGCUUAUUUAAGUUCCGGUAUUUACUUGAUCCUCUUUGGAAGACUUAUAAAGGUCUAGUUCUUAUUCAUGCAAAAGAUAAUCUUUGAUAGUA